GUGCUUGUUUCAGCAGUACAUAUAGUAAAACUGGAAUGACACAGAGAUUAGCAUGGCCCCUGUGCAAGGAUGACAUGCAAAUUUGUGAAGCAUUCCAUAUUGUU
rnacentral:snRNA from 1 species